rnacentral:rRNA from 1 species
CGUUAGGCGAACGGGUGAGUAACGCGUGAAUAACCUGACUCAAAGAGGGGGAGUAACAACGGGAAACUGUUGCUAAUACCGCAUGAGACCACAACACCGCAUGAUGAAGGGGUCAAAGAUUUAUCGCUUUGAGAGGGGUUCGCGUCCCAUUAGGUAGUUGGAGGGGUAACGGCCCACCAAGCCAACGAUGGGUAGCCGAGCUGAGAGGCUGAUCGGCCACACUGGAACUGAGACACGGUCCAG